rnacentral:misc_RNA from 1 species
GGAAGGAUCAUUAGUGAAUAUUAGGACGUUCAAUUUAACUUGAAGUCCGAACUCUCACUUUCUAACCCUGUGCAUUUGUUUUGGUUAGUAGGAUGCUUCGGUGUCUGAACGCCUCUUCAUUUACAAACACAAAGUCUAUGAAUGUUUAAAUUUUAUAACAAAACAAAACUUUCAACAACGGAUCUCUUGGCUCUCGCAUCGAUGAAGAACGCAGCGAAAUGCGAUAAGUAAUGUGAAUUGCAGAAUUCAGUGAAUCAUCGAAUCUUUGAACGCACCUUGCGCUCCUUGGUAUUCCGAGGAGCAUGUCUGUUUGAGUGUCAUGAAUUCUUCAACCCUCUCUUUUCUUAGUGAUUAGAGAGGAGCUUGGAUUCUGAGUGUUGCUCCUUACCCGAGCUCAUUCGUAAUAUAUUAGCAUCCAUAUUCGAACUUUCGGAUUGACUUGGCGUAAUAGACUAUUCGCUGAGGAAUCUAACUUCGGUUAGAGCCGGGUUUGAACUAGGAAGCUCCUAAUCUAGCUUAGUCUACUUUUAGAUUAGAUCUCAAAUCAGGUAGGACUACCCGCUGAACUUAAGCAUAUCAAUAAGCGGAGGAAAAGAAACUAACAAGGAUUCCCCUAGUAGCGGCGAGCGAAGCGGGAAGAGCUCAAAUUUGUAAUCUGGCGCUUUCGGCGUCCGAGUUGUAAUCUCUAGAAGUGUUUUCCGCGUUGGACCGCACACAAGUCUGUUGGAAUACAGCGGCACAGUGGUGAGACCCCCGUUCACGGUGCGGAUGCCCAAUGCUUUGUGAUACACUUUCGAAGAGUCGAGUUGUUUGGGAAUGCAGCUCAAAUUGGGUGGUAAAUUCCAUCUAAAGCUAAAUAUUGGCGAGAGACCGAUAGCGAACAAGUACCGUGAGGGAAAGAUGAAAAGCACUUUGGAAAGAGAGUUAACAGUACGUGAAAUUGUUGGAAGGGAAACGCUUGAAGUCAGACUUGCUAUUCGGGUUUACUCGAGUUGCAGGCCAGCAUCAGUUUUCCGGGGUGGAAAAUCACGGUUUGAAGGUAGCAGCUUCGGCUGUGUUAUAGCUUUCCGUUGGAUACAUCCUGGGGGACUGAGGAACGCAGUGUGCUUUUAGCAGGAGCUUCGGCUUCAUCACACUUAGGAUGCUGGUGGAAUGGCUUUAAACGACCCGUCUUGAAACACGGACCAAGGAGUCUAACAUGCUUGCGAGUAUUUGGGUGUCAAACCCGGAUGCGUAAUGAAAGUGAAUGGAGGUGGGAACCGCAAGGUGCACCAUCGACCGAUCUGGAUUUUUUAAGAUGGAUUUGAGUAAGAGCGUAGCUGUUGGGACCCGAAAGAUGGUGAACUAUGCCUGAAUAGGGCGAAGCCAGAGGAAACUCUGGUGGAGGCUCGCAGCGGUUCUGACGUGCAAAUCGAUCGUCAAAUUUGGGUAUAGGGGCGAAAGACUAAUCGAACCAUCUAGUAGCUGGUUCCUGC